rnacentral:rRNA from 1 species
AUUGAACGCUGGCGGCAGGCCUAACACAUGCAAGUCGAGCGAGCGGCGGACGGGUGAGUAAUGUCUGGGAAACUGCCUGAUGGAGGGGGAUAACUACUGGAAACGGUAGCUAAUACCGCAUACGAUCAGAUGUGCCCAGGUGGGGUUUGAUCGUAGGUGGGGUAACGGCUCACCUAGGCGACGAUCCCUAGCGGGUCUGAGAGGAUGCCCAGCCACAGUGGAAUUGGGACACGCCCCGUACGCCUACGGGGGGAAGCAGUGGGGAAUAUUGCACAAUGGGCGCAAGCCGGCUGAAGCCAUGCCGCGGGUGUGAAGAAGUCCUUCGGGUUGUAAAGCACGUUCAGCGGGGAGGCGUUACCCGCAGAAGAAGCACCGGCUAACUCCGUGCCAGCAGCCGCGGUAAUAC